rnacentral:tRNA from 1 species
GGAAAAGUAUUCCAUUGGUAGGGUAAUGCAUUUGCUAUAUGCUGUGCUUUAUGCACUUAGGUGUUCAAUUCACCUCUUUUCCG